rnacentral:rRNA from 16 species
GGAUGAUGACGUGACUCAAAGAAGAAGCCCCGGCCAAUUCUGUGCCAGCAGCCGCGGUAAGACAGAAGGGGCGAGUGUUAUUCGGAUUGAUUAGGCGUAAAGCGCACGUAGGCGGCUUUUGAAGUGAUUAGUGAAACCCCAGAGCUUAACUGUGGAAAAACUUUUUAAACUCAUAAGCUUGAGCUUGGAAGAGGAUACUAGAAUUUCGAGUGGAGAGGUUGAAUGUGUUGAUAUUCGAAGGAAUGCCGAAUGCGAAGGCAUGUAUCUGGCCCAAAGCUGACGUUGAGGUGCGAAAGCAUGGGGAGCGAGCGGGAUUAGGUACCCCAGUAGUCCAUGCCGUAAACGAUGUUGGCUCAGCACGUCCGUAUCAGGGCGUUCUUCCGUUAACGCAGUAAGCCAACCGCCUGAGGAGUACAGUCGCAAGGCCGAAACUCAAAGGAAUUGACGGGGACUCGAACAUGUGGUGGGGCAUGUGGUUUAAUUCGAUAAAACGCGCAAAACCUUACCAGUCCUUGACAUAAAAGAGAAGAUUUUCAGAAAUGAAAAACCUUUACCUUUUACAGGUGUUGCAUGGCUGUCUUCAGCUCGUGCCGUGAGGCGUUUGGUUAAGUCCAGGAACGAGCGCAACCCCUUAUUCUUGUUUUUAACAUGGAGUUGCUAUGCAGUUGCUACGCAAGUUGCUACGCAGCAAGUCCCAUGUCUUUCAAGAAUGACUGCUCAUGAGAAGUGAGAGGAAGGUGGGGAUCACGUCAAGUCCGCAUGGCCCUUAUGGACUGGGCUACACACGUGCCACAAUGGCGAUGACAAAGGGAAGCAAUGAUGUAAGUCGGAGCAAAUCCUCAAACAUCGUCUCAGUUCGGAUUGUUCUCUGCAACUCGAGAACAUGAAGUUGGAAUCACUAGUAAUCGUGGAUCAGCACGCCACGGUGAAUACGUUCACGAGUCCUGUACACACCGCCCGUCACACCUCGGGAAUUGGGAAGCCCCAAAGAUGUUGGAACGAAAA